AGGAGGUGGUCUGGAUAUAUGCAUUAUGAACAGGUUGUAAUAGAACAUAAGCCGUAAUACAUAGACAAACAUGGUAGUGUGUUAAGGUGUUCCAGGAGAGAGGUUGGGGGUUGAGUGGCUGGUUACAGAAAGACCCCAGCCUAAGUUACCCAGGAAGGUUAGGAAGGAGGUAAACUACCAGGGAGCUAGCUGUGAGGAGAGGUGCUGCUGAGGGGAGGGGAGAGGUGCUGCUGAGGGGAGAGGAGAGGUGCUGCUGAGGGGAGAGGAGAGCAGGAGGAGAGGAGAGGUGCUGCUGAGGGGAGAGGAGAGGUGCUGCUGAGAGGAGAGGAGACAGGAAAUAGCUAGCGGGCGCAGUGUGUGUUAUGACAACCCGGGCACACUACAGGGAGAUGGGGGCAGGAAGAGACAGGUAGUUAGUUAUAUUGGGAGCAGGAGAGGUGAGGAUUGAAGAAGGCAGGAAACGGCUGUGUUUGGUGCCGCAUGGCCGCUCGUUUUGUUGACUAACCUUGACGGCA
ensembl:lncRNA